rnacentral:rRNA from 1 species
ACGGGGGGUGCAAGCGUUAUUCGGAAUCAUUGGGCGUAAAGGGCGCGUAGGCGGCCCCUUAAGUCAGAUGUGAAAGCCCUCAGCUUAACUGAGGAAGUGCAUUUGAAACUAAGGGGCUUGAGUAUGGGAGAGGGAAGCGGAAUUCCUGGUGUAGCGGUGAAAUGCGUAGAUAUCAGGAGGAACACCGGUGGCGAAGGCGGCUUCCUGGACCAAUACUGACGCUGAGGCGCGAAGGCGUGGGGAGCAAACAGGAUUAGAUACCCUGGUAGUCCACGCAGUAAACUGUGAACACUAGGUGUAGCGGGUAUUGACCCCUGCUGUGCCGAAGCUAACGCAUUAAGUGUUCCGCCUGGGAAGUACGGUCGCAAGGCUA